rnacentral:rRNA from 1 species
UAGGGAAUUUUCGUCAAUGGGGGAAGGACCCUGAACGAGCAAUGCCGCGUGUGUGAAGAAGGUCUUCGGAUCGUAAAGCACUGUUGUAAGUGAAGAAUGCCAUAUAGAGGAAAUGCUAUGUGGGUGACGGUAGCUUACCAGAAAGCCACGGCUAACUACGUGCCAGCAGCCGCGGUAAUACGUAGGUGGCAAGCGUUAUCCGGAAUCAUUGGGCGUAAAGGGUGCGUAGGUGGCACGAUAAGUCUGAAGUAAAAGGCAACAGCUCAACUGUUGUAUGCUUUGGAAACUGUCGAGCUAGAGUGCAGAAGAGGGCGAUGGAAUUCCAUGUGUAGCGGUAAAAUGCGUAGAUAUAUGGAGGAACACCAGUGGCGAAGGCGGUCGCCUGGUCUGUAACUGACACUGAUGCGCGAAAGCGUGGGGAGCAAAUAGGAUUAGAUACC